rnacentral:piRNA from 1 species
UACAGUUUUUCCAUAUUCUUU